GACGAACGCUGGCGGCGUGCUUAACACAUGCAAGUCGAACGGGAUUUAGUAAACGGAAGCCUCGGUGGAAGAUUACUAAUGAGAGUGGCGAACGGGUGAGUAAUGCGUGAGCAACCUGCCUAUGACAGUGGGAUAGCCUCGGGAAACCGGGAUUAAUACCGCAUAAAAUCGUAGAAACACAUGUUUCAACGGUCAAAGAUUUAUCGGUCAUAGAUGGGCUCGCGUCUGAUUAGCUAGUUGGUGAGAUAACAGCCCACCAAGGCGACGAUCAGUAGCCGGUCUGAGAGGAUGAACGGCCACAUUGGAACUGAGACACGGUCCAAACUCCUACGGGAGGCAGCAGUGGGGAAUAUUGCACAAUGGGGGAAACCCUGAUGCAGCGACGCCGCGUGAACGAAGAAGGUAUUCGUAUCGUAAAGUUCUGUCCUAUGGGAAGAUAAUGACAGUACCAUAGAAGAAAGCUCCGGCUAAAUACGUG
rnacentral:rRNA from 1 species